GGUGAAUCGUGUAUGAGGAACAGCCAGAAGCAGUACCUUCGAAAUGAUUCUUUACAUCAACAUCUGUUUCUUGCGUUAAAAAGACGUCAUGAUCAUUACCAGAUGACACCAAGUAACGAAGUUACGUAAAACGCUGCACCCCAGCCGAAUGUACUGCUGACAAUUGCACAGAGGGGGUAAGUUAUAGCAGCACCUACAGAACUACCUGAAAAGUAACAUAUUUAGAAACCUGUCGUAAUUUAAUUCACUAAUCACUAGCAAUUCUCGGAUAUGAAUCACUUGAUUAUUAUGAUAUAUAUAAAUA